rfam:Gossypium hirsutum cultivar TM-1 unplaced genomic scaffold scaffold4030.1, whole genome shotgun sequence
UGUUAAAAUUUCACCCAUUUUUACUGUUAAAACCUAAUAUAGCUGAUAGAAUAACCAGACAGUUACGCGUGAUGUGUCACGUGUACCUCAUACUGAUGUACAGGAACCAAUUUUUAACAACAGAAAUAGAUGAAAUUUUGAACA